GCCUGGGGGCUGUAGUGUCCGCGCC
rnacentral:miRNA from 1 species